UAUUAUCUCUUUUGGAUGCAUUAGUACAUUUUCACAUGGAAGGCAUCCAACUAAUAUCAAAGAGGAAUCAUAACUGGAGCAAUCAUUAAAAAUUAUAUGAAACAUUAGUUGAUGUGUUUUGAUAUACUUGCAUGAAAAAAUAUAAUAAUUUGUUAGUGUAAUACCGCAAGAUAUAAAAAUGACUUAAACCAUGUCUUAUCCGAACUGACCACAUGCAUGACUCACGUUUGACACAAUAUACAAAACUCGGCUCUUUUUCACACAGCCAAUCUUUUCCAUCCAUAAUUCCCAGAUCUAAUGGCUAAGAAUUACACAAAAGAAUUGUUCUUAACUACAAACUCCCCAUCACAAUGUCUCAGGCUCAAGAAAAUUUCCGCUCGGCUCCACAGCCAUACCCUCUCUGCUGACAUUUUCUUUACUCGUAGAGUCUAGUAAUUUAAAAUGUGUAGUUAGGAGUGGGAUGUCAAAGUUUGUUUAAAUUGAUUUUCCUAUCAACAAUAUAACAGUUUUAUGGUAGCAACUCUUCAAAACAAGCGGAAAGAGACUAAAACAUCUCGGUCUGCCUAUGGUGUAAUAUUGUAUAUGUAGCAGAAAGGGCAUUACAAUUCUCAAGCGUGUACGGUGUGUAUAAUUCAUUGCACUGGAGGCAAAAAGUUCGGUGGUGUAUGGUAGAAGGUAGAGUCAGGGCAAAAUACAACAUUAAGCUUUGCUGUCCAUAUCAACAUUACCGGUCUUCAAAAAUUGUGACUGAUUUAUCAGCAUCUCAGAUAUGUCUGCAGACAUGAAACAAAAUUUAGUAUCAAGCAUCAUGAUAGAAGCACAGUAUAUCGUACCUGAAGCUCCACAACCACUUGGAAAAUCAGUCACCUGAAGUUCUAUAGUUAUGAUAGAAGCACAAUGUAUCAUACCUGAAGCAUCAUGAUCGGUGUUUCCGUUAGGAAAGAGAAACUAAAUAAGUAAUGGCAUGGUAUAUAGAAGUUAAGGACAAAAAGUAAUGCUCUACAACCCCUUGAAAAAUCGUGUACCACUAUUCAUAAACUAAAAAAAUGCCGCUGGAAGCAUACUACACCUGAAGGUCAAGAUGAAUGUUCUGACCCUUGGAUUCCAGACGGUGAAUACUGGAAGAAGUAGCAGGGGAUAUCAUCAAUUGCUCAAAAUAAGCAGCAAAAAGGCAGCUAGAAAACAAUUUCAGAUCUUCUCAUAUCAUUGAAGAGAACAAGAGGAAUACUGGAAUUGCCAGUAUCUGUUUCAUAAACAAACAAAAGAAUAAUUCGUAUCGAAGAAUGGAAACCCGUAAUGCCAUAAUGUUUUCCGAUUGGUGUUCUACAACCACUUGGUUUGACUUAAGAUAUGUAUUAUGAAGAUUAUCCAAUAUUUGAAACUGCAAAUAGAAAUAUCAAGGCAAAAUCUUUUAUAUUGUCUCAUAAGAUACAACUGUGUCAUGCAUCUUUUUCAACAUCCUUGAGUAACCUCUUUGUAUUAUUAUGUAGCAAAGCUCCCUACUUUAUAUUAGCCUAACAAAACUAUUGAAGUUGGCUCAUAACAUCCAAAGAAAUCAAGAAAAUAAAUAAAAAUAAUCACAUUAAAAGGAGAUGAGAAAUAUUACCUAAAAUGAUAAAAUAAUAAAUAGAUUGACAUGAAUGGAGAACAAUCUAAUGGGAUCUAUGUUUAUUUGGCUUGCCUAAAACCCGAAUGGUCUACCUUGACAUGACUAUCGACAGUGAAAGAUCAUAUAACCUUACCAAGUGACACGUCUUUAAACGUCGAGCACCUCCUCAACUGAGACACAAUGUUUGUUUUGAUUGCAUAAUGCACGUUCUUCAUUAUAUGCAAAGGCUGCGAGGCACAAUACUUUGAUUGCGUACUGCAUAUUCAGUAAUUAGAUGUUGCAUUGCAUUACCUGGCUGGACUAUAAUCACUGAUCAGAGUUCAUAGCGAUUUUGAAAGUUUUAAAUAGAAUGGCUUGACUCUUAGUCUCGAUAUCUCUACCAGUAGAUUACAUUACAUACAUGCUAGAACUUUCAAUGCGCAGUCAGAUAUGAAUCAUUAUCCUUGCUUAAGAGAAAGAAAAGGCAAUCAAAGACAGAUCAUACUAAAAAUGAAAAGGAAACACAAUGCUAUGAUUGCUGAAACCAUAUUCUUCAGUAAUCAAAUGUGUCCCUACAUGCACAGCAAUUCAAAUAUAAGCAUGAUCAGUGUUCAUAACACAUUACUGCCAUUAGAACGAAGGGUGGAUUGCUCAUAGUUUGGGAAUUGUUCCUCACCUUCAGUCUGAAAUUACGCUACAAAAUUGUUAAAUAUGUCAUUUUUUUAAUAAAAUAUGAAUUGAUCUGAGAAGUUUAGUGACAGAUAUACCGGUCAAUCUUGACCAUUGCCAUGACAAAGCAAAGAUAAUUCUUUCUCACAGAUACAAACGGAAGUAAUUACAAACAUGAAAUAAAAGAGAACCAGCAGUAGCUCAAAGAACAAUAACAGCACAGACAUGUGAACAACCUACAGGCAACACAUCCCAAACAGAGGCCAACGCCACACCUUCGGCACGAACUCUAGAUGUAAAUGAAUUUUAUCUCGAAACAUAAACGAAACAAAUGCUCUCAUCCGGGGACCAGGCGGCCACGGAGGUCUGCGGCUCGACUGCCUCCUCCUUAACAGUGGGUGCCUCCUCGGAACAUAUGAACCUAACUUUGCUUCAUUGAGAAAAUUAGAAAUACCUAGACAUUACGUGACUAUUUGCGGUACCAAAUUAUCAGUCCAACUAACUUAAAAAUUAAAAUUGGUGCAAUACCCUACAUGUUGACAAGACAGUGAAGUCCAAUGAUUAGCUUCAACAUUACUGAAUCGUUAAGAUUGUAAAUGAUGGCCUUCUUGCUCAUUGUUUCGCUGAUUAGAAAUCUGCAAUAGGACGUAAAUAGUUUAACGGAGAAGAAAUUUGUUGGAAUAUAUUUGUGAGCUACGGCUGAAAGCUUAUCUAGCUAGUUUCGUCGUGCAUGCUAGUCUCCAAAAAUCAAUCAACAUGCCUGCUUCCAAGCACUUGUAUAUGCAUGUUGCUAUGGACGAAAGCACUUUGGAUGUACACCAUUCACAAAUUACUAUCAGAACUAAAUCUGUUUGGAUCUAAAAAUCAACUCUAAAAUUAGUGAAGAGACCUCGUGAGGUUAAUAUUUCACUUAUUCAGAUUAACUCUAAAAAUCAGCUAGAUUGAUUUGCACAGCAAAUUGCAAACAAGUUACCCAGAUCAAUCAAUAGGCGUAGAAGGUUGUGGCCAGAUCGAUUCAUCAGUUUUUUUUAUGUUCUAGUAGGAUGUGGUCAAAUAGAUUCAUCACAAAAUAAACUCCAUUGCAAAAAGGCGCACUCAAACCAACAAAAACAUGAACGGGACUGAGUCUAAUUACUAAGUUGUAGCAAAUGCACGUGUGGAGCGGACAGGCAGCUAGAGACGAUGAGCAGCCGACGAAGACCUAUUCAGUUUUUGCUAUAACAAAAUGCACACAUAACAAAUUGAAACAAUCAUUAGCCAGCAAGAAAAUACGGAGUCUCUUUUACCCCUAAUCUCAAACUAUCAUAAAAAUUGGUACAAACCUGAAACAAAUUUUUGCUUCACUUCUUGUAGGCAUUAUAACAAACACUGGGCAGAAAACAUACGGAAGUGAUUGCUGUGCUGGUGCCCAUGGCGGAGGGUCACAGCAGGCUAGUUGUGCAGAUGAAUGGCGAAAGUCACACUGGAAUCUGCAAUUGCGCAAUUUCAUUCAAAUCAUGACAUGGAAUGAAUAUUGACAUCGACACACCAUCAACGGACAAAGUACCUUCACAAGGGGACGGGAUGGCGUCCUGACAUCCGGUUGAUUGAGUAGGUCGACGGCUGCAGCAUCUAGAUGGGCCGUGGAAAGGGGGGACUCUGCUGGCCAACAUGCGUGGGUGGCGAUGAAGCGGGCAAACAGGGUGGAGCAGUAGGACGAAGGAGGGCCAUGGCUGUGGACAAACGGCUCAGGAUCUGGCCAUCCCAUCUCUAGGUGAGAUCUCUCCAUCCACCACCACCAGAGGGGCUUGACAAGGAGGGGACGACAGGGUUGGAUUGGGAGAUGGCGGGGCGCCGCAGAGAGCGACCGGAGUGGGCGGAUGGCAGGCUGCGGCCCGGCCACCCUGCAGCGGAGGUGCCGCUCGACCGUCGGGGGCGCCGCAGCCCGGUGAAGUGGCGGCCGUCGGUGGUGAAGCAACCAUGGUGUGUGGUGGGUGGCUCCGGAUUAGCGCUCGGGGCGACGGUCGUGCGGGGCUCGUGGCCUUCCCCGCCAUCCUCCAGCUCGCGCACCGUAGCCGCGCAGUAGUGGGCGCCUCGGCAUCGGCCCUCUUCACCUCCGCGGUCGGCAGCUGGAUGACGAGAGGGCGCGGCGGCAGCUGGGCCUCAUCGGAUGAUGCUUCCUGCGCCUCCGCCCAUCUCCCCGACGGUGCCGAUGACGGCGAGGAGGAGCGCCCGUAGAAACAGGGCGGCGCCGCGGUGGCGCGCCAUGUUCGCUGGUGGCACGGGCGGGGUCGUUGGAGGGGAAGGGGGCAAAGUGGGGCGUGGGAGCAAUGAGUGGGGCGUGCGGAGUGGGUGGUUUCCUUUGGGGAGUGGGCGCAGCGGGAGAUGUGGGACGGGACGCACAUUGCUAAUUGCAAUAUCGUUUCGUUAACAGCGUUUCGUUGGUGCGCUUUAGAACCAUUAGAUUACUAAUCAGACGGUUAAUAUUCUAGUUGGAUCUGCCUUUUUUUUCCUUUUAUAGGAUAAUGGCAUGGUGGGUAAUUAAAGUAUAAAACGCGUUUAGUACACUUGAGGGAUGUAGACCAUCAGAUUGCAGGUUUCGAUGGAUAGGAUGAUUUGGUUCUCCGCCCUCUCGGCCUUUUAUAGUGGUAGUAGAUGAAUCACUCAAUGACCUAUGUGUCAUAUUUCACUUACCAUAUUGUUUGCUAAACUAUUGUAGGCGGAGACUUGCAACAAUUAUGGUGAAGCUCAAGUUUGCUGAACACCUUAAAGAGGCUGUCACCUACAUUGAACAGGGCCAUGUGCGUGUAGGCCCAGAGACGGUCACCGAUCCUGCCUUCCUUGUGACCAGGAACAUGGAGGACUUCAUCACCUGGGUGGAUUCCUCAAAGAUCAAGAAGAAGAUCAUGGAGUAUAAUGGUGCAUUGGAUGAUUAUGAUGCCAUGAUUUAAGGAUAUGUCCUGAUAGUAGAAAUUUUGGGAACAUCAGUGAUUCAGUGUAGCUACUCCUGUAAUAUUUUUUAAACCUGAAUCUGAGGCUACAAUAUGUUGAGGUAGUUAUCUGUUGCAAAGCUACUUGUGUGAUGAAAGCUAAACUGCUAUAGAAUGCAAAUGCCAUAAUCAGUUCAUACUUGUCCCCCUUCCGCUUUCCCUUGCACAUGCUGAUGCAGUAUCAUACAUAAAUUUUGAUGUUCAGCUGAAUAUGUACAAUGUGCGUUCUACUCUGCAAGUUGAUUGAAUUGCUUGUUGCUAACAAAUUGAGCUCUGUGGUAAAAGCAUGUUGUGUAAUUCCCUGCAUCUUCCUGUCUAUGAAUUACUAUGGUAUAUGUAGCUGGACUUCUGAUGAAUUGCUGAUAAGAAGUAUCAUAAGUUGUGGUGCUGCUCUUUGAUGAAUGAAGAAGCAAAUUUGGACAAUAAGCUGGGAACCCAGGAAUAAAUUAACGCAAAAGACUAGCUAGUUUCUCCUAUUUACUGCUUGGUUUUACAACAAGCGUACAUGUGUAUUGGCUAGGAUGGCGGGGAUUGCUUAGCUCUCUAUGGUUUGAAGAUGUACCCCCAGAAUUAGCUCCAUUUUUGCUUGAUGAUGCAACUCUUAUCACAAGUUAAUAAAAGACGUUGCUUGAUGUAAAGAAAAGUUAUCACGGAGCUGAUGAAACAAAUCACUGGGAAAUUCUUAUGUCUGAAUUACAGCAAGAGCAGUGUCCUUCUAGCGAUAUGAAGAAGCAGCCUUGUUUUGUUGUUGUUGAUGGAGCCUAAACUCAACUUGGUUUCAUUGAACAUGAACAGCCAUAUUGUUUCCUUUUUCUCUGAGUUUUUAUGGUAUAAAUUUUACAAUCUGCUGCUGUCAUGCAUGAUGUGAAAACUGAACAACAGCAGGUUCUUGACAGGUGCUCAUCUAUGUAGUUCGUUGGGUCGUUACCAAAUUGAAAGGCCAAAUGUUUAUUCAUCCAAACUGAAAGUAAACAGGUGACGAGUGCAGUCUCAUACUUCAACAACAAUGAGUGACGUGCUCGCGACCUCAAUAUAGCAUCAGAUCUUUAUAAACACAAUUUAAUCAUAGCAUAACCGCAAGCCUUUUUAUACAUGAAGCCUUUGUUCUCUCGGCAGCAAAUUAAUCUUUGCAUCAUCUUGCUUAUGGAGCCCAACCACUGCAGUUGUUUCCCGUGAAUGUGCGCAUGCACACUGAAUCGCUGGUACUCGAGGAGGAAGAACUGGAGGUUGCAUUUGGUUCCAACUUGGUAGCAACAUACCGUGCUUAUUUAUUUCCCAUGAGAAUAGGUACCAAUUCCGUUGGAUCAAAUUCAGGCUCUUUCUCUUCUCCGUCAGCGGGCAGUUCUUGCUCCUCCUAUAAGCAAGCGCGGAAAUGCAGGCUGCGGAAUCGAACAGCAAGAAGAGAUUAAAAUUCAGAUAUAUUAGGAAAGAGCAACCAAACCGGAGUCUAUAUGCUAAUUAUUACCUGCACAUUUGUUUCAAUGCUGAAAGGUUCCCUUGUGUACAAUACGUGCCAUUUCUUGUCAUCCCAGCAAUCACUGUCUGCAUAAGCCUCAACAUGCUGGAUAUGGCUAAACUUGUCCCACUCGCUGCCAGAUUUUCCUGCGGCCAUGAAACCAAGUAUCUCCAGACCGCAAUCCACCAGCAAAUGGCUUGGAUUUACAGUUUGAAGGUACAAGGGGAGUCCCAUCUUGUUGGGCGAGAGUCGGAAUCUUUCACCGUAGCCGGGAACUGUCAGCACAAGUCUCCGUAGUGCACUCAUUUCCUCUAGUGAGGUGAGCUCGGGGCAAGACUUGAUCUCAAGCUUUUGCAAUUCAGGGAAAUUGGAGAUACUAAUCAGCUUGGGUAAGUCAUACAGGUCGAGCUCAACAACAGAAGCAAAGUUCUCUAGCGAAUGGAGACGCCACAUGCUCCACAAGGUUAACUUUUUCAAAGCCUUUGCAUGUGAGGCAAGACCGGGAGGGAUACACUUCAAAUUACACCUUGUGAAAGUAAGCUCAACCAAGACUGGCAUAGCUUGCACUUCCUCCUCCCACUCCCACUCCUCCAAUUCCACGAAUUCUAAUAAAUCCAUCUCACGCAGCCUCGGAAAUGCAGUCACCAUGUGGGAUGAAGGAUAGCAACGGUGGCUUUGGGGGCGCACAAAUUCUGGCCCAAUGCACUUGAUCGCUGGAGCACGGUUGACUUGCAGGUAGUCCAGCAAUGGGAGCUGACAUAAUCCAUCAGGAAGUUGGAUGCAACAAGCCAAAUCUUCCAUCACUAGUGUCCUCAAGCUAUUGAGGCGCAUUGUUGCUGUCGACAUCAUCCAUCUUGGCAGCUGGCGCCCGAUAUAUCCUUCAACGGAAAUAAUUUCUAUGCACGGAGGAGGAGAUAGCUCAUUAAACACCUCCUCAAUUACUCCUUGAUUAUUCUUACAUGCAAUGCUGGAUAAUAAGCGCAUCCUAGAAAGAUGCACUUUUUGAUCAAGCCUAACCUUUGUGACAAAUGAAGCAUCAGAUACAUUCCCCAGGCCCACUAAUCCAAUGCCCCUAAGCUGGGAAAGAGGUCCAAGCUCUUCCAAGCUACACCAAUCACCAUCCAUGUGUACUUGGAAACCAGAUAGUGUCCUCAAAUUUGUUAGAGCAUGGAAACCCCUAGGAAUACUAUAUAUACCUGUGCCUUCAAGUUGAAGAUAUCUUAGUUCCGUUAACUUCACAAUGCUAUCAGGAAGUUUCACAAGAUUCUCACAACCUUCAAGACUAAUGUGUUGUAAGAACUUCAUUUUGUGAAUGUUCUCUGGCAAGCAAUCUAUAUCAGCGCAUCUAUCCAUUGACAAAUACCUCAAGUGUUUGAGAUGAUAUAGAGAUUCAACCAUUGUGGCGAACUCUGCAGACUCUACGUGUAGAGUCCGCAGACUUGAAAAGGUAACCAAGGAAUCACCAGACUGAACCUUGAAGUUUCCAAUUAACAUUAACGAUCUUAGAGAUAUUUGCCCUUGUAAACUUCUCCACUCAAAUUCAUCCGAUUCCAAUCCAUUAGUCUCUAUAGACAACCGGAGAAACUUUUGCAAAUGAAGUUUACUAUUAACAGUUUCUCCAUUAUGAGCUACUAGUGCUUCAUUUCUUGUCAUGAAUUGAGCAAAUGAACGAAUAACAUCAUGCAUCUUGCAAACAUAGUGACUGGCAUAUGAUGUAUCCGACUCUAUAAGGUUCCUCAACCUCAACUCUGUAUGGUACUCAGUUCCUAUUUCUUCCAAUAUAUCCGAGUUUCCAUGAACAAAUCCUUCACCAAUCCACAUGUUGAUGAAUUGUGUAUCAUCUAAAAUCAUCUUUUUAGGCUUAAGGGAGAAGUGCAGAAAGCAUUGCUUUAAACAAGGGGACAAGUCCUCAUAGCUAAGAUAUAUGGCAUGAUUUAGCUCUUCUGGCAUUUGAGAUAUUGACCAUACAGCAUCAUUCAAUACCUUCUCCCAAUCACGUCGGGUUUUUUCCUUAUGGCAUAGGAGUCCUCCCAUCACUUUUAUGGCAAGUGAUAACCCAUCACAUUUUUCUACAAUUUGCAUUCCAAUAUCCUUCAGCAUAUCCACUGCAGGUUCGCUUUUCUUGGUCAUGAGUACCUUCAAACAAUUGAGAAUUAAUACGGUACACACAUUAAUUGAGUACCUAUAGUCCAGUCUACUAGAUAAAUUAAGUUGUCAGUAAGUGUAGAAUAAUCCAUUCAAUAAUACAGUAAUUAGUUUGAUGCUUUGCUCAUGAAGGCAUCUGGAUGGAUCGAUGUCCAUGUCUUUCUAUUUGACACACAAAUUAUCUAAUUACCUAGCUAGUUACUCUCAACACAAUCUACGAAUCAGACAUAAACAAUAAGCCAACAAGCAUAUGCAUGUGUCUCAGUAGUCUAGAAUGACCAAUUAGCGCACAUACUCCCUCCGUCCGAAAAAGCUUGUCCCUCAAAUGGAUGUAUAUAGCACCAAAUUAGUGCUAGAUACAUUCAUUUGAAAAACAAGUUUGGGACAAGUUUUUUCGGAUGGAGGGAGUACCAUUUAAAGGCAGUGCUUACAAUAUGUGGUGAUGAUCAAUAUAAAAGUAUAUGUCAGUUUUAUAGUUGUGGAUCGUACUGCGUACAAGCAGUUGGUGUGGACGCUUGGUCUAUGUGUCUAUUCAUAACGAGCACUAGUGUACUAGUAGUAAUGUUAAUGAAACAACAGUGGUCAUAUAGAAUGACGCACCAAAAAGAUGAAGCACGUACUUAAGGCAGCAAGCACGGAGAGUACAACAAAAAAUAUUGCCACUUCCCGUGUUAAUAGAGAUGCAAAUUGGAACCUAAAGGGUACCCUCCGACCCUCCUAGGUUCAACUAAAUAAACUAAAUUUUCAGAAUUCACAUCAUUUUUGAAAAUGUAAUUCAUUUGGUUGAACUAAGGAGGGCUGGAGGGUACCCUAAAGGUACCAAAUUUGCACUCCUACGUGUCAAUAAAUGAACAUAUUACUUGAGAUAGGACGGAGGCUACCAGUAGUUAUGUACUCACUUGCUUCGUGAGCAAUGACCAGCCAUCUUUGGGCCCUAAUUUGUUGAUGCGGUGGUAUGGAUUUACUGCUUUCAUUCCUCGGGCAACAGUUUCAUGUCUUGUGGUGACGAGGACUCGGCUACCCGGGGCACUGUGGCUAAUGGGAGCCCUAAGCAAGUUGGUCCAUUCAUAGGUGCCCCACAUGUCAUCCAACACAAGAAAUAGCUUCUUAUCUUUGAUAGCACUCGCAAGAGCCGGCACAAGCAAAGUUUUGUCUUGAGAUCCACCCCCAGGUCCUGGCAAAUUUCCUUCGGCGGUAGUGAUGGCUGUCCUCAAUAAGUCAACCUCGCUGAAUUCUUGUGUAAUACUUAACCAUAUUUUCUUGGUGAACUUGCCUUGUAUUGCUUCGUCGUUAAAGACUUUCUUGCUAAGGGUGGUCUUACCAAUCCCGCCAACACCAACGAUGGCGAACACCAUGAUGCUUUCACUCGUGUCAACUUCCUUCGUGAGCAGCUGAACAAGUGAUCUCGUGUCAUCUUCAAUCUUCUCCCCAACCACGCCCGACCGCUCCAACAAAGGAUUAGUCUUGCGGUCAAUACCAUGAGGCCGAUUUGUCUUCUGGUCCUGGUAGACUUCGAGCUUGAUGAAAUUGAAACUACGACCCCUCUUGCUGAUGUUAUCCAACUCCUUGUUCAGUGCCUUGAUGCGGCUGCCGAUGUCGUGUGCAUGGAGAGGAUUUUGCAUGCAUGAGAACAAGGGGUUAAGACACCCUAUGUCCUUGGAUGGACUUUGCUCCAUGGCCUUGAGCUGACACAGAUCGAUGAUGUCGGUAGCGUGGUACAUGGCAUGCUUCAGUUCCUCCACCCACCCCCGGACACUCUCGUCAGUGAUGUUUCUUCUAUCGGCGUCAGCAAGGAAAUUCUUGAGGUCCCCAAGCUUGAUGGUCAGAUCGGCGAUCGCGCUGGAGAUCCCGAUCAGCAUGGCCACCUCUUCUCUAGCCAUGUCGGCGAUCAUCUUGGUCACGUAAGAUGCCAAGGCAUUCAGAACCCCUGUCAUUAGUUGCUUGAGCUGCUGCUGAAAACAUGCAGUCGAACAAAAUUAGCCUUGUACACCAACAACCCCAUGCUAAAAGAUUGGUUCAUUGUCACCACAGAAAAAUAAGGGGAUAAUCUAGAGACAAGGAAAAAUUUAAUGGAAAAAGGGGCUUGCAAACAAGAAGACAACGCUAUGCACACAAAAUCUGACCAAGAAUGAGUAUCACUGGUAUGGCGCUGCUAGAAGGA
rnacentral:lncRNA from 1 species